UGGCGGACGGGUGAGUAAUGUCUGGGAAACUGCCCGAUGGAGGGGGAUAACUACUGGAAACGGUAGCUAAUACCGCAUAACGUCGCAAGACCAAAGAGGGGGACCUUCGGGCCUCUUGCCAUCGGAUGUGCCCAGAUGGGAUUAGCUAGUAGGUGGGGUAAAGGCUCACCUAGGCGACGAUCCCUAGCUGGUCUGAGAGGAUGACCAGCCACACUGGAACUGAGACACGGCCCAA
rnacentral:rRNA from 1 species